UUAAAAAAUGUUUUCCUUCACAAGAUGUCCUUGAGUCGACUAGAACGAGUGGGAAAUUUAGCGGUUCAAAUUUUUGUGUCAGUUCUUGAAAAUUUAACCUACUCUCCAAAUUCUAGCCAAUACAAUAUAGCCAAAUAGCCUCGCUUGAUUUCUGAAUUUGCGUUUGUAUUAUUUAUUUACUCAGAAAAUGAUGUAUGGAUUAGAGCAUUUAAAUCACCUACAAACUCAGAAUUACUUGAUCACUGCUGUUUACCUCCACUAUUUCACACCGGGCAGCCUAAGAAUACGAACGAUAGAGCAUUCAAUCUAUCUCGGUGAGCUCAAGACACUAAUAGAGAACAUAUUCGAUCCAUUGCUUCUCGAAACAUCGAGACGAUGGCUCCAGAAAAGCGAGUCGCCGUACCCCGGCUAUUGUCGAGCGCCAGCCAGUGAUAAAUGUUUGCCUGUACUUUGUAAUUGUGAAAAACUCAGAGAAAUAUGGAAUAAACAAAAGAAAAAAAUCUAUCAAGGCAAUAAAUAAAAUAGCAUGCUUUAAUAGCUCUUAUAUUGUACACUAUUCCCCUCUUAUACAUCGUAUUUCUCUCUGCUAAUGGUUUGAUGGAAGAAAACUCAUGAAUGAGUUAA